AAAAACAAUUGUUCAUUAAUUAACUAAAACUAAGAGAAAAAAAUGAAAUUUUAAUCAGUGAAAUCAGUCUUUGUUAAAAGUUAUAUUUUUUUUGUGAUUAUUAUAAAUUAUUAAAAAUAUAAGAAUAUUUAAAAUCAAUGGCGGUUAUAUGGAGGGGAUAUAGAUGGAUCACCUACCUUUGAUCCAUACCUUUUUAAACAAUGUAAUAAAAACGUAUUUGACACACUAAAGAUACCAUGCAUUUACUUUAACUAAGCGCAUAACUAGUGAGAUGAGAAUAUACGGAAACUUAUAUUUUACAAAAACGUUUAUACCUCAAAAAUAAGUUAUGUAAUCAAAAAAUGUAAAUGAUCAAUAAUAGUAUUCAAUAUAAAAUUAUACAUACGAUACAGUUAUUACCAUAAAAAUUCACAUAACAUCAAGAAUCAAAAAUAAAAACGAGUAGAGUAGAGACGCGGAAUAAUUGGGACAAAUAUAAAUGAUA